UUAAGUUAUUAAGGGCGCACGGUGGAUGCCUUGGCACUAGAAGCCGAUGAAGGACGUUACUAACGACGAUAUGCUUUGGGGAGCUGUAAGUAAGCUUUGAUCCAGAGAUUUCCGAAUGGGGAAACCCAGCAUGAGUUAUGUCAUGUUAUCGAUAUGUGAAUACAUAGCAUAUCAGAAGGCACACCCGGAGAACUGAAACAUCUUAGUACCCGGAGGAAGAGAAAGAAAAUUCGAUUCCCUUAGUAGCGGCGAGCGAAACGGGAAGAGCCCAAACCAACAAGCUUGCUUGUUGGGGUUGUAGGACACUCUAUACGGAGUUACAAAGGACGACAUUAGACGAAUCAUCUGGAAAGAUGAAUCAAAGAAGGUAAUAAUCCUGUAGUCGAAAAUGUUGUCUCUCUUGAGUGGAUCCUGAGUACGACGGAGCACGUGAAAUUCCGUCGGAAUCUGGGAGGACCAUCUCCUAAGGCUAAAUACUCUCUAGUGACCGAUAGUGAACCAGUACCGUGAGGGAAAGGUGAAAAGCACCCCGGAAGGGGAGUGAAACAGAACCUGAAACCGUGUGCUUACAAGUAGUCAGAGCCUGUUAAUGGGUGAUGGCGUGCCUUUUGUAGAAUGAACCGGCGAGUUACGAUUUGAUGCAAGGUUAAGCAGUAAAUGUGGAGCCGUAGCGAAAGCGAGUCUGAAUAGGGCGUUUAGUAUUUGGUCGUAGACCCGAAACCAGGUGAUCUACCCUUGGUCAGGUUGAAGUUCAGGUAACACUGAAUGGAGGACCGAACCGACUUACGUUGAAAAGUGAGCGGAUGAACUGAGGGUAGCGGAGAAAUUCCAAUCGAACCUGGAGAUAGCUGGUUCUCUCCGAAAUAGCUUUAGGGCUAGCCUCAAGUGAUGAUUAUUGGAGGUAGAGCACUGUUUGGACGAGGGGCCCCUCUCGGGUUACCGAAUUCAGACAAACUCCGAAUGCCAAUUAAUUUAACUUGGGAGUCAGAACAUGGGUGAUAAGGUCCGUGUUCGAAAGGGAAACAGCCCAGACCACCAGCUAAGGUCCCAAAAUAUAUGUUAAGUGGAAAAGGAUGUGGCGUUGCCCAGACAACUAGGAUGUUGGCUUAGAAGCAGCCAUCAUUUAAAGAGUGCGUAAUAGCUCACUAGUCGAGUGACACUGCGCCGAAAAUGUACCGGGGCUAAACAUAUUACCGAAGCUGUGGAUUGUCCUUUGGACAAUGGUAGGAGAGCGUUCUAAGGGCGUUGAAGCAUGAUCGUAAGGACAUGUGGAGCGCUUAGAAGUGAGAAUGCCGGUGUGAGUAGCGAAAGACGGGUGAGAAUCCCGUCCACCGAUUGACUAAGGUUUCCAGAGGAAGGCUCGUCCGCUCUGGGUUAGUCGGGUCCUAAGCUGAGGCCGACAGGCGUAGGCGAUGGAUAACAGGUUGAUAUUCCUGUACCACCUAUAAUCGUUUUAAUCGAUGGGGGGGACGCAGUAGGAUAGGCGAAGCGUGCGAUUGGAUUGCACGUCUAAGCAGUAAGGCUGAGUAUUAGGCAAAUCCGGUACUCAUUAAGGCUGAGCUGUGAUGGGGAGAAGACAUUGUGUCUUCGAGUCGUUGAUUUCACACUGCCGAGAAAAGCCUCUAGAUAGAAAAUAGGUGCCCGUACCGCAAACCGACACAGGUAGUCAAGAUGAGAAUUCUAAGGUGAGCGAGCGAACUCUCGUUAAGGAACUCGGCAAAAUGACCCCGUAACUUCGGGAGAAGGGGUGCUCUUUAGGGUUAACGCCCAGAAGAGCCGCAGUGAAUAGGCCCAAGCGACUGUUUAUCAAAAACACAGGUCUCUGCUAAACCGUAAGGUGAUGUAUAGGGGCUGACGCCUGCCCGGUGCUGGAAGGUUAAGAGGAGUGGUUAGCUUCUGCGAAGCUACGAAUCGAAGCCCCAGUAAACGGCGGCCGUAACUAUAACGGUCCUAAGGUAGCGAAAUUCCUUGUCGGGUAAGUUCCGACCCGCACGAAAGGCGUAACGAUUUGGGCACUGUCUCAACGAGAGACUCGGUGAAAUCAUAGUACCUGUGAAGAUGCAGGUUACCCGCGACAGGACGGAAAGACCCCGUGGAGCUUUACUGUAGCCUGAUAUUGAAAUUCGGCACAGCUUGUACAGGAUAGGUAGGAGCCUUUGAAACGUGAGCGCUAGCUUACGUGGAGGCGCUGGUGGGAUACUACCCUAGCUGUGUUGGCUUUCUAACCCGCACCACUUAUCGUGGUGGGAGACAGUGUCAGGCGGGCAGUUUGACUGGGGCGGUCGCCUCCUAAAAGGUAACGGAGGCGCUCAAAGGUUCCCUCAGAAUGGUUGGAAAUCAUUCAUAGAGUGUAAAGGCAUAAGGGAGCUUGACUGCGAGACCUACAAGUCGAGCAGGGUCGAAAGACGGACUUAGUGAUCCGGUGGUUCCGCAUGGAAGGGCCAUCGCUCAACGGAUAAAAGCUACCCCGGGGAUAACAGGCUUAUCUCCCCCAAGAGUUCACAUCGACGGGGAGGUUUGGCACCUCGAUGUCGGCUCAUCGCAUCCUGGGGCUGUAGUCGGUCCCAAGGGUUGGGCUGUUCGCCCAUUAAAGCGGUACGCGAGCUGGGUUCAGAACGUCGUGAGACAGUUCGGUCCCUAUCCGUCGUGGGCGUAGGAAAUUUGAGAGGAGCUGUCCUUAGUACGAGAGGACCGGGAUGGACAUACCUCUGGUGUACCAGUUGUCGUGCCAACGGCAUAGCUGGGUAGCUAUGUGUGGACGGGAUAAGUGCUGAAAGCAUCUAAGCAUGAAGCCCCCCUCAAGAUGAGAUUUCCCAACUUCGGUUAUAAGAUCCCUCAAAGAUGAUGAGGUUAAUAGGUUCGAGGUGGAAGCAUGGUGACAUGUGGAGCUGACGAAUACUAAUCGAUCGAAGACUUAAUCAA
rnacentral:rRNA from 1 species